rnacentral:sRNA from 1 species
AAACAGACGAUCAAAAAUA